rnacentral:rRNA from 1 species
UACGGAGGGAGCUAGCGUUGUUCGGAAUUACUGGGCGUAAAGCGCGCGUAGGCGGCUUUGUAAGUUAGAGGUGAAAGCCUGGGGCUCAACCCCAGAAUUGCCUUUAAGACUGCAUCGCUUGAAUCCAGGAGAGGUGAGUGGAAUUCCGAGUGUAGAGGUGAAAUUCGUAGAUAUUCGGAAGAACACCAGUGGCGAAGGCGGCUCACUGGACUGGUAUUGACGCUGAGGUGCGAAAGCGUGGGGAGCAAACAGG